rnacentral:ncRNA from 1 species
CCGGCGGCCGGGGGCUCGUUCCCCGGCCGUCCCGGGACUCGACUGACGCCGGUACCUGAUACGGCCGGCGCAG